rnacentral:rRNA from 1 species
UACGAGGGGUCCUAGCGUUGCUCGGAAUCAUUGGGCGUAGAGCGGGUGUAGGUGGACAACUAAGUCAGAUGUGAAAGCCCCGGGCUCAACCCGGGAAGUGCAUUUGAAACUGGUUAUCUUGAGUGCAGUAGAGGAAGGUGGAAUUCCAAGUGUAGUGGUGAAAUACGUAGAUAUUUAGAGGAACAUCGGUGGCGAAGGCGACCUUCUGGACUGUUACUGACACUGAGACCCGAAAGCGUGGGGAUCAAACAGG